GUACUGGCAUUGUUGGUUUCUCCCUUCUGACGAACCAUGAUGUCAUUUAUUUGGUGUUGUGGGGAAUCAGGACUGUUACUUUGAAAAAAUUAGAGUGUUUAAAGCAGGCUCACGCUUGAAUACAUUAGCAUGGAAUAAUGAAAUAGGACGUUUGAUUCUAUUUUGUUGGUUUCUAGGAUCGACGUAAUGAUUAAUAGGGAUAGUUGGGGGCAUUAGUAUUCAAUUGUCAGAGGUGAAAUUCUUGGAUUUAUUGAAGACUAACUACUGCGAAAGCAUUUGCCAAGGAUGUUUUCAUUAAUCAAGAACGAAAGUUAGGGGAUCGAAGACGAUCAGAUACCGUCGUAGUCUUAACCAUAAACUAUGCCGACUAGGGAUCGGAUGAUGUUAAUUUUUUAAUGACUCAUUCGGCGCCUUACG
rnacentral:rRNA from 1 species